rnacentral:rRNA from 1 species
GUCUAGGGCCAUACCACCCUGAACGCGCCCGAUCUCGUCUGAUCUCGGAAGCUAAGCAGGGUCGGGCCUGGUUAGUACUUGGAUGGGAGACAUUCCACAAUUUAUUUAACCCGCUCUCUGUUGGUG